CACAAUUUUAACAAUUUGUGUGAACAGGUGAAAUAAAACUCUUACUAAAUGGCAUUAUAAAGUUUAAAGUCAACGGCAACCUAUUAGGAUGUAGGUGGCCAUGACAACAAUGCUAAAAAUUCCAAAUUUUUUUGGAAAAGGGGACAUGAGUAAUUGAAGAAGAAAACUAGAAGAAAAUGGCAUGUCAUCAUCAAUGUGGAGCAUAAAGAGUCGUCCAUGCCUACGCCCCUUCUCGAUCAUUUUUUGGGUGCACCGAUCCU
rnacentral:lncRNA from 1 species